rfam:Brassica napus, WGS project CCCW01000000 data, contig: 13741
AGAAUAUAAGAACCCGUCUCUUAACUUUUAACUAAAAAAGCUAAGAACCGACUCUUAAAUAAGAUUAUUUAAGAUAUUUAAGAGUCGGUUCUUAGCUUUUUUAGUUAAAAGUUAAGAGACGGGUUCUUAUAUUCU